GUCUGGGUCCUGUGCGGCGGGAAACUGUGAAUCGGGUCAGGACCGGAAGGUAGCAGCCCUAAGCGGCACUUCUCGGGUGACACGGGGAAGCCCAGGUGGA
rnacentral:SRP_RNA from 1 species